GUUUCCCAGAUUCACUUUUCAAAAUUAGUCCUGGGCUGGCCUUCAACAAGACAAACAUAUUCUGUGCAGUCACAGGAGAGAACAACACAGCAUUCCUGGACCAAGACUUGGAGUCAUGAAGCCAGACAUGCUGGACAAGCUGAAGACAGAGUUUGGGGACACUACCUAGCUUCCAAAAGCCUACCCGGAUUUAGAGGUCAAAUGACCUAGGAAUCUCAGAGGACAUCAGCCGGAUGCAAUGGCUCCCCCCACCUCCCAACGCCGGCAUUUCCUGUGUGCUCUCCCUUUCACUGGUAUAAACAGACCACGAAGCGGGACAAGGUGUCUGGACCAGCUUCCCAGCUGCUUCAUUAUUCUGCUAGAUCAAUAUUAAUUUUUGCAGGCUUCCUUUUUCAGCACAUCAGGGCUAGAAGGGGCAACUUGUACACACCCUGGUGUUUGGCAAGGGGAUUUAUGAGCCUGCUCUAAAGAUACAGCCCCCGUUGCACUGAGUGAAAAUCUGGUUGGAGCCCAAAACAACAAGGAGAGAGCAGGAGGACACAAAGUCAAGUCACUUCUCACAGGCCAAGUCACAGAACACUGGAAAGCAGUACCUGGAUGUUAUGUGCCUGCCUAUGGUGUUUUCGCCGCCAAUUUCCUACUUGGCCACAUGUGCACAUUUAAUUAAUGUUCUGCUCAUCACCUCCUGCAAGUCAUUAAUAAGGAUGCACUGUAGAUACAAGCUCAUCUCAGAGCCUGCCAGAAGCACUCCGCUGGCCACGAUCUCCCACCCAGUGCACAGCCGCCCACCGGCUGCUCACGUGGUCUUGCAGCCAGGUUUCUGAGAGGCAGAGCUCAGAACCGGCUCGGUUGAAUUCAUCUUUCAAGUGAGAUUUCUGGAUGCAUCCAUUUCAUUGCCUUCACCCACUAAUGUGGUAGAAGGUUUUUUUUUUUAAUUCUAUUAAAAAAUGCAAUUAAAUUUGUCUCAUGGAAUUUGCUCUUUAAAAAUCUAGACAGCUGCUUGCUCGUGGUGGCAUUAUGCUCCUGAUUCCUGCAUGUUUUUUUUCCUUCAUCUCCAUUCCAUUACUUUGCUGAGGAUUAAAGACGGGUUUAGCAGAUGGCAAAUGCCAGGGUCUCUUCCCACCCCCACCUCCCAUUCAGAAGACUGGGAUCGUGUCGGCCAGAAUACACAGCCCGGCUUCCUCCACGGGGCUUUUGGAAGCGAGGAGCAAUUGUUUCGUUCAAAUCCACCAGCUAACGCAGAAAGUGAGACUGAGGGGCAGAGGAAGAGAGACUAAGGACUCUUCCCCAUGGCUGGCCCUCAAGGCUUGGUCAGGGGUCGUUCCUGAGCCUCGGUCUCCUCAUCUCCAGAGUCACUGAUUUCCUCCACCAUUGCUCAGCCAUAAAGCACUCAUUAGGCUGUGAAGCAAAUGAGGUAAUGUCUGUGGUGAGAUGGUUUGUGCGUUUCCAAAGAAAGACACCAUAUAAAAAGCAUUCUGAUUGCUAACAGUCAGGGACACUCAGCAUCGGGCCUGGCUGGCCCUAUAAACUAUUUAACUGCCUGCUCCUUGCAAAAACUAUUUUUAUCAGUUAAUUACACAUUUUUCUUAUUAAAUAACAAUGUGAAAGCA